AUUCUGUGAUAAGUCCUCCUUCUAGCUUGUCCCACAAGCAGUCGAGCUGAGACACUCAGGACUGAACAGACUGCACAGUUUCUGUGACUGAGCCUCCAAAACACCUUCUUUGAAACCACUCAUGAUAGAAGGGCUUCAUAUUUGCAGCAGCACUACUACAGUUGGCAGGAAUGUUGCUGCAGGAAAACAUCCCUGGAGAUCACCAUCAUUGUCAGACUGACUGUGCCUCCUCUGUGCAGUGUCAAGAUCCUCCCUAAAUGAGUGUUCCUCAGCUAUCCUGCUUCUGUGCUGCUUGCCACACAUCAAACACUGGCCGGAUGACAGGGAGGAUCCACUCUGAAGUCACUGGACAUGAUGAGGAUCAUAUGGGACUUUAUAGUUUCACAGAAACGUUGUGCUCUGUGGUUACAGGUUUUAAAUGGACAUAAUGACGGCCUCUCUCUGAUCAACAGGCUAAAGGAUUGUUUUCAUUGUUAGUGCUCUGUACAAUGUAUGCUUAUUUAGUAUUUCAUCACAGAGCAAACCUUUAUUUAUUUAACAUAUUUUUAUUUUGUUUUAAUGUUGAAUUAACUGUAGGGAUUUUUUUAAGUGGGCACUCGGGAUGUCAUAUGACCAGAAAUGUGGUAACUGGAAUUCAACGUUAUGGAAGAAAAAAUCUGCUAAGAACAAAACACACACAAAACCCCCCAAGAAAAUUCAAAUUCAUUCCAUGUAAUCCAAUCUAAAACAUUUUAAACUGCUGAACAGCAACACAAACAGUGUUAAAAAACAGUGUUAACAGAAUGAUUAUGAUGAGUUUGUACCAAAGUUUCAGGUCACAUGGCACACCUAGUGUGUAGUGUGGAGUAUCAGCUGGUAAGUAUAGGUUUUUCAUAUUUGUGUCCUUAGAGUUCAGAUAGAUAAAGCCUCGUGUAUAAUAAUUAGUCAUAACCACAACUCAAAGUCAGGGACUAACUAAAUUUGGGACUUUGUGUCUGAGCCCAGGUUAAAACAAUGUGUAAAAAAGCAUUUAGUGGCAUGGCUGAACAAUGCUGUAAACU